GGUGGCUCAGUGGUAGAGUGCUUGCCUUGCAUGCAUGAGAGCCGGAGUUCGAUUCCUCAGCACCA
rfam:Dipodomys ordii contig_70448, whole genome shotgun sequence.